rnacentral:rRNA from 1 species
UACAUAGGUAGCGAGCGUUAUCCGGAAUAACUGGGCGUAAAGGGAGUGUAGGUGGUGAAGCAAGUCUAUUGUGAAAGCCCUAGGCUUAACUUAGGGAUUGCAGUGGAAACUGUAUUACUAGAGUGCGAGAGAGGCAAGUGGAAUUCCUAGUGUAGCGGUAGAAUGCGUAGAGAUUAGGAGGAACACCAGAGGCGAAGGCGACUUGCUGGCUCGUAACUGACACUGAGACUCGAAAGCGUGGGGAGCAAAC